rnacentral:sRNA from 1 species
GCUGGGCACGGUGGCAGGGGUCUAUGGUCCCAGUUGCUCAGGAGGCUGAGGCAGGAGGAUCACUGGAGCCCAGGAGUUUGGGACCAACUUAGGCAACAUGGUGUGACCCUGUCUCAA